CAAGUAAGACAGAUAGUCGCUUUCGCGUUUUAAGGCGCGGGAGAGGAAAGUCCGGGCGCUCCCUUGAUUUUUAAUCAAGGAGCAGGGUAGCGGGUAACGCCCGUCGGUCGCGAGGUUAGAGUUGCGAACAGAGACGCCAAAGCCCGAAAGGGUUGAGGCGCCGAGCGUUAUUUUGGCGCUUGGCGAGUCCUGAUAGAAAUAUCAGGGGUGAAACGGCUAAAUACUUACCCGGGCGCAAGAGCAAACCUAAUCAGGGUCUUUUUUAUGAUUCUUGAUUAGUGAAAAGUAGCUCGCUUGAGCCCAAUGGUAACAUUAGGCCCAGAUAGAUGACUAUCAUUUCCCGCCACUUUUAUAAAAAGCGGCGGGGACUACAGAACCCGGCUUAUAACUUACUUGUCCC
rnacentral:RNase_P_RNA from 6 species